rnacentral:lncRNA from 1 species
UGGCAACAUAUGGGAGGCCUACAGACUGGAGACAUGACGACAUAGUGGAGGCCUACAGACUGGAGACAUGACAACAUAGUGGAGGCCUACAGACUGGAGACAUGACAACAUAGUGGAGGCCUACAGACUGGAGACAUGACAUCAUAGUGGAGGCCUACAGACUGGAGACAUGACAACAUAGUGGAGGCCUACAGACUGGAGACAUGACAACAUAGUGGAGGCCUACAGACUGGAGACAUGACAUCAUAGUGGAGGCCUACAGACUGGAGACAUGACAACAUAGUGGAGGCCUACAGACUGGAGACAUGACAACAUAGUGGAGGCCUACAAACUGGAGACAUUACAACAUAGUGGAGACCUACAGACUGGCGUCAUGACAACAUAGUGGAGGCCUACAGACUGGAGACAUUACAACAUAGUGGAGACCUACAGACUGGAGGCCUGCAGUCUGGAGACAUGACAACAUAGUGUAGGCCUACAGACUGGAGACAUUACAUCAUAGUGGAGGACUACGGACUGGGGACAUGACAUUAUAGUGGAGGACUACGGACUUGGGACAUGACAUUAUAGUGGAAUACUACAGACAUGGCAACAUAGGGGAGGCCUACAGACUGGAGACAUGACAACAUAGUGGAGGACUACAGACUGGAGACAUGAAAUUAUAGCGGAGGCCUACAGACUGGAGACAUGACAUCAUAGUGGAGGACUACAGACUGGAGACAUGACAACAUAGUGGAGGCCUACGGACUGGGGACAUGACAUUACAGAUGAGGACUACGGCCUGGGGACAUGACAUCAUAGUGGAGGCCUACAGACUGGAGACAUUACAUCAUAGUCGAGGCCUACAGACUGGAGACAUGACAACAUAGUGGAGGCCUACAGACUGGAGUCAUGACAACAUAGUGGAGGCCUACAGACUGGAGACAUUACAACAUAGUCAAGGCCUAGAGACUGGAGACAUGACAUCACGGUAGAGGGCUACAAACUGGAGACAAUACAACAAAGUCAAGGCCUAGAGACUGGAGACAUGACAUCACGGUAGAGGGCUACAAACUGGAGACAUUACAUCAUAGUGGAGGCCUACAGACUGGAGACAUUACAUCAUAGUGGAGGCCUACCGACUGGGGACAUGACAUUAUAGAUGAGGACUACGGACUGGGGACAUGACAUCAUAGUGGAGGCCUACCGACUGGGGACAUGACAUUAUAGCUGAGGACUACGGACUGGGGACAUGACAUCAUAGUGGAGGCCUACAGACUGGAGACCAGCAGACUGGAGACAUGACAACGUAAUGGAGGCCUACAGACUGGAGACAUGACAACAUAGUGGAGGCCUACAGACUGGAGUCAUGACAACAUAGUGGAGGCCUACAGACUGGAGACAUGACAACAUAGUGGAGGCCUACAGACUGGAGACAUUACAACAUAGUCAAGGCCUAGAGACUGGAGACAUGACAUCACGGUAGAGGGCUACAAACUGGAGACAUUACAACAUAGUGGAGACCUACAGACUGGAGUCAUGACAACAUAGUGGAGGCCUGCAGACUGGGGAUAUGACAACAUAGUGGAGGCCUACAGACUGGAGGCAUUACAUCAUAGUGGAGGACGACGGACUGGGGACAUUACAUUAUAGUGGAGGACUACGGACUGGGGACAUGACAUCAUAGUGGAGGCCUACAGACUGGAGACCACUAGACUGGAGAUAUGACAACGUAGUGGAGGCCUACAGACUGGAGACAUGACAACAUAGUGGAGGCCUGCAGACUGGGGAUAUGACAACAUAGUGGAGGCCUACAGACUGGAGACAUUACAACAUAGUGGAGACCUACAGACUGGAGGCCUGCAGUCUGGAGACAUGACAACAUAGUGUAGGCCUACAGACUGGAGACAUGACAUUAUAGUGGAGGACUACAGACUGGGGACAUGACAUUAUAGUGGA